UUACUACAGUCUACAGACAGGUGUGUUUACUACAGUCUACAGACAGACAGGUGUGUUUACUGCAGUCUACAGAUGUACAGGUGUGUUUACUACAGUCUACAGACAGACAGGUGUGUUUACUACAGUUUACAGACAGACAGGUGUGUUUACUGCAGUCUACAGAUGUACAGGUGUGUUUACUACAGUUUACAGACAGACAGGUGUGUUUACUACAGUUUACAGACAGACAGGUGUGUUUACUACAGUCUACAGAUGUACAGGUGUGUUUACUACAGUCUACAGACAGACAGGUGUGUUUACUGCAGUCUACAGAUGUACAGGUGUGUUUACUACAGUCUACAGACAGACAGGUGUGUUUACUACAGUCUACAGACAGACAGGUGUGUUUACUACAGUCUACAGAUGUACAGGUGUGUUUACUACAGUCUACAGACAGACAGGUGUGUUUACUACAGUCUACAGACGUACAGGUGUGUUUGCUACAGUCUACAGACAGACAGGUGUGUUUGCUACAGUCUACAGACAGACAGGUGUGUUUACUACAGUCUACAGACAGACAGGUGUGUUUACUACAGUCUACAGACAGACAGGUGUGUUUACUACAGUCUACAGACAGAC